UACGGAGGAUGCAAGCGUUAUCCGGAAUGAUUGGGCGUAAAGCGUCCGCAGGUGGCUAUGUAAGUCUGCUGUUAAAGAGUGAGGCUCAACCUCAUAAGAGCAGUGGAAACUACAUGGCUAGAGUGCGUUCGGGGCAGAGGGAAUUCCUGGUGUAGCGGUGAAAUGCGUAGAGAUCAGGAAGAACACCCGUGGCGCAAGCGGCCACCUGGCAGAGACCUGACGCUGAGGCACGAAAGCGUGGGGAGCGAACCGG
rnacentral:rRNA from 1 species